rnacentral:rRNA from 2 species
GAAUGGAUUAAGAGCUUGCUCUUAUGAAGUUAGCGGCGGACCGGUGAGUAACACGUGGGUAACCUGCCCAUAAGACUGGGAUAACUCCGGGAAACCGGGGCUAAUACCGGAUAACAUUUUGAACUGCAUGGUUCGAAAUUGAAAGGCGGCUUCGGCUGUCACUUAUGGAUGGACCCGCGUCGCAUUAGCUAGUUGGUGAGGUAACGGCUCACCAAGGCAACGAUGCGUAGCCGACCUGAGAGGGUGAUCGGCCACACUGGGACUGAGACACGGCCCAGACUCCUACGGGAGGCAGCAGUAGGGAAUCUUCCGCAAUGGACGAAAGUCUGACGGAGCAACGCCGCGUGAGUGAUGAAGGCUUUCGGGUCGUAAAACUCUGUUGUUAGGGAAGAACAAGUGCUAGUUGAAUAAGCUGGCACCUUGACGGUACCUAACCAGAAAGCCACGGCUAACUACGUGCCAGCAGCCGCGGUAAUACGUAGGUGGCAAGCGUUAUCCGGAAUUAUUGGGCGUAAAGCGCGCGCAGGUGGUUUCUUAAGUCUGAUGUGAAAGCCCACGGCUCAACCGUGGAGGGUCAUUGGAAACUGGGAGACUUGAGUGCAGAAGAGGAAAGUGGAAUUCCAUGUGUAGCGGUGAAAUGCGUAGAGAUAUGGAGGAACACCAGUGGCGAAGGCGACUUUCUGGUCUGUAACUGACACUGAGGCGCGAAAGCGUGGAGAGCAAACAGGAUUAGAUACCCUGGUAGUCCACGCCGUAAACGAUGAGUGCUAAGUGUUAGAGGGUUUCCCCUCUUUAAUGCUAGAAUUAACGCAUUAAGCACUCCGCCUGGGGAGUACGGGCGCAAAGUUGAAACUUAAAAAGAAUAGACGGGCGGCCCCCACAGCGGGGGAGCAUGUGUUUUUAAUUGAAACCACCCCAAAAAAACUUUAACCGGUCUUUGCCUCUCCCAGAAAACCCUUAAAAAAAGGGUCUCCUCCUUCGGGAAGCAAAAUGACAGGUG